UACGUAGGAUCCGAGCGUUGUCCGGAAUUACUGGGCGUAAAGGGUGCGUAGGCGGCAAUGUGCGUCAGAGGUGAAAUCCACGGGCUUAACUUGUGGGGUGCCUUUGAUACGGCAUAGCUUGAGUACGAGAGAGGUCGAUGGAAUUCCUGGUGUAGCAGUGAAAUGCGUAGAUAUCAGGAGGAACACCGGUGGCGAAGGCGGUCGGCUGGCUCGUAACUGACGCUGAGGCACGAAAGCGUGGGGAUCAAACAGGAUUAGAAACCCUAGUAGUCC
rnacentral:rRNA from 1 species